rnacentral:rRNA from 1 species
UCGUGGAGUGAUUUGUCUGCUUAAUUGCGAUAACGAACGAGACCUUAACCUGCUAAAUAGUCAGGCUAGCUUUGGCUGGUCGCUGGCUUCUUAGAGGGACUAUCGGCUCAAGCCGAAGGAAGUUUGAGGCAAUAACA